GGAGAAGUUUCCUGUUUCAACUUAUGGUGCAUUUACUGGCUCUUUCUCGAGCUUUUCACUUUUAAUUGCUGCUGGGCUUUUCAAACGCACUUGUAGACAAGUGGCAUCUGCUUAUAUUAAAGGAAAAACAGGUGUCGCUCGCAGGUAACCAGCAUGGAAAAGGUUCUUCCUCCAGGGGAAAUGAAAAAGAAAAAGAAAGAAAGAAACAACAUCUACAAAUUCCAGAUAAACCCCUUGGAUAUACAUCUAAUGACUGAAUGGACCAACAAAAGAAAGCAAAACUAAAAAAAGAUGACGACAUCAAUGAUCACUUUGGUGUCAAUGAGAAGGAGGAGUGGCGUGCAGACACACACGUGGGGUGAACGACUGUAGUAGCUGCAAUGAC